GAUGAACGCUGGCGGCGUGCCUAAUACAUGCAAGUCGAGCGAACGGACGAGAAGCUUGCCUCUCUGAUGUUAGCGGCGGACGGGUGAGUAACACGUGGAUAACCUACCUAUAAGACUGGGAUAACUUCAGGAAACCGGAGCUAAUACCGGAUAAUAUUUUGAACCGCAUGGUUCAAAAGUGAAAGACGGUCUUGCUGUCACUUAUAGAUGGAUCCGCGCUGCAUUAGCUAGUUGGUAAGGUAACGGCUUACCAAGGCAACGAUGCAUAGCCGAGCUGAGAGGAUGAUCAGCCACACUGGAACUGAGACACGGUCCAGACUCCUACGGGAGGCAGCAGUAGGGAAUCUUGCACAAUGGGCGAAAGCCUGACGGAGCAAAGCCGCGUGAGUGAUGAAGGUCUUCGGAUCGUAAAACACUUUUAUUUGGGAAGAACAUAAGUGUAAGUAGAUGUUCACGUCUUGACGGUACCUAAAGAGAAAGCACCGGCUAACUACGUG
rnacentral:rRNA from 1 species